rnacentral:sRNA from 1 species
UCGCAUUGAAUAUUGUAAAAAAGCUAUAAAAUGAAUUAAAAAAAUACUGUAUACUGUAUAAAACAUAUUAUUUUGCAUAUUGAAUAAAAUGAAAGUGUAAAUUUUACUUCACAAUAAUGAAAAUAUACAACAAUUAGUUGCAUAUUUUAAAUCACAAGCAAAUAGAAAAUAGAAGAAGAAACAAACCUACACAUUGUAGUCUUGAGGUAGUAUUAAAUGUUAUGAGAUUUUGUGGAAAUUUAUUUCCAAAGCAAAAAGUCCGUGUAGAAAAGUAGAAGAAAUAUUAAUUAUAAAGAAUACAAAAAAUCAAAGCAAAAAAAAAAAAACAUCAAAUUCCAUAGACUGUGUCACGCAAAAACGGCUUUGGUUCGCCGAUUCAUCUUAGUUAUAUUCCGUAGUAUAUUCGAACAUCUAAGAAAAUGCGACAGAUCAUUAUUUUCGGUGCUUUUUUGCCUAAAAAUGUUUGCUGGUAUGUGACAAAGUGGAAUCAGAGUCUGCAAGACUCUGAAUGAUACCCGUGGGUGAAUAAACGGGUAUGAUACUUGCCUGAGACUCCCCUUUUGUAGCGCUGAUCCUCUCGCUUUAGGCCUUGAAGAUAUAACUUGCCAUUUCUGGCCAACGAUUGAUUGCCUAUUCACGAGAUGAUGAAUUACGAAGAAUCUUUAACUCCUGAUGGUAGUGGUCCAUAUAUCAGAGCUUUGCGGAGAAAACAUAGGUGUAUAAAUCCGGUGCAAAUCUCCUAGAAGCAAUUGGCUCCCAGAAUUGUACGGUAAAUCCCAGAAAGAAAGAUAACAAAAGAAAAUGCCAACAUUAAGGUUUAUGUCGAAUAAGUUUAUUGGGUUUCUGCUGCUUACCGCCUCUGAUGUUGUUGCAUAAGUGCAGAAUUGAGGCCUGGCAAAGAGACGAACUAGUUUAACAAUGUAUUUCAAUUAAACUAUUUAAGUGAAAGUUAAAAAAAGGGAGCUCAGCUUUUACAACUAAAGUUAGCUCUAUUAUUUACUGGCUAAAACUUAAAGUUUAAGUUCGGCAAUGACCUGUUGAACUAGUUCCAACAUAGGUGAACUUCCAACUUGUAAUAAUAGCAUUCUGGCAGUUCUGAAUCCUAUUCCUCUACUGGGUCAGUCCACACUGGUCAUGCAUACAUAGUUUAUCCGGCAGGUCAAUUGUAUUAUAUCAUUGUCUGGCCUAAAAGUGCUACAAGCCAGCGAAUUGAGGACUUUGUUUCUACUCUUGACUUUAUAACAGUUCUAGUGGCUUGUGCGGAGGACUUGUUGAGCUUGUCAAAUAUUUAUUUCUUUAUUUCUUAAUAGUAAUACAUAAGCCUCCUCGGUCAAAAAAACGUAUUACAACGAUAUAUAUUCCUAAAUAAACAUUAAAAAAUUAAAUACUUCACAGUUACAUAAAGAUGUAAGAUUCUUAGCCUAAUUUUAAUUGGGCAAGAUUAUGCAAAAAUUUAAACUGUUGGAUUUUUUAAUAAGUCCAAUAUGAGCAAUACAAAAAGAUUCAAGCAACAACACUAAGUUUGAUCUGUAGAAUAUAAGUUAAUAAGUUUUAAGCGAACCAUGUAUUUUGUGAUAUUUGGUGGUCCGAAUUGUAACUCCAUUGACUCCCACUGUCAGUUUCCACCGUUCAUCUAAUAAACAAUGUGGAUAACAA